rfam:Myotis brandtii contig135622, whole genome shotgun sequence.
AGUGGGGUGGGAGGACCCUCGGCCCGGAUUGUGAGAGGGUGCAGGCCAGGCCGAGGGACUCCCACUGGUGCACA